UUGUUAUUUGGAUGCUGCU
rnacentral:siRNA from 1 species